GCCUCCGCCAAGAACUCUUCCCUGUCCUCUGCCUCUUCAUCCUGGAAGCCACGAUGGAACUGCUUAAUACAGGAUCAAUAAAGAAUUGUUUAAGCCAUCAUCAUCCACAAAUGCUUCUAAGAUAAUUAAACAUAUGAGAAGCAUUUAAUGUGAUUUCCAGGACACUGCAUAUGAAAACAGAUUGCACACCAGCAUUCCGUGUGAAUCGUCUACCCAUUAACACAAUCCAGCAAUAAAGGGGCUCAGAUGCUUUGAGAUCAAAACAGGAAAAAUACGCCUUGCAGUUGAUAAGUUCCUGUUUGUCCUGUUUGUUGGCCCCAUCUGCACCAGAUGUGCUUAAUCACAUGAGGGCAGGAGGUACGUGGACAGGAAAUACAUCAGGUUAUAUGCUUGCCCUUGAUUGGACCUGAUGGGAAAUAUGGUGAAUUCUGGGUUUUGCCUUUUUAAGCAAACAUGACUCAUGGCCAUUUUCUGGGAACUCAGAGAUGGGCCUAGCCAG